AAAAUAACAUCAGGAGGGCAGGGCUUUUUGAAGACACCAGGAUGAGGACUUGAGCAAGAUUCUAUCCCUCUGUCCCAAACAAGGCAAUUUUCUCACACUACAGAAACAAGGUGACAAAUUCAGGUCACUACACAUGGAUCAGGAACAGCACAGCACACA